UCUUAUGUACAUGCCUACAACGUUUAUGCAUAGAAUCCCAUUAGAACUUUGCAGUUAAGUAUGUUAGGGCUAGAGUAAUACUAGGAUCAGUCACCACCUGGAAAGUCCUAGAGUUUUACAUGUC
rfam:Picea glauca, whole genome shotgun sequence.